rnacentral:lncRNA from 1 species
AUGGCCUAGAAAGGGACGGUCGGACUUGGAACGGGGUCCGAGGCCUCGAAAGUCCACAUCUAGCUACUGGGUGGUCCGAUUCUGAGUGAUCUCGAAGUUUCUUGCCCACAAAAGCCGAACGGUGACGCCCCCGACUCGGUUUCUUGGUUCCGUCCCAAAACGCCGAAGAAAGGCACAAUGGCCUAGAAAAGGACGGUCGGACUUGGAACGGGGUCCGAGGCCUCGAAAGUCCACAUCUAGCUACUGGGUGGUCCGAUUCUGAGUGAUCUCGAAGUUUCUUGCCCACAAAAGCCGAACGGUGACGCCCCAGACUCGGUUUCUUGGUUCCGUCCCAAAACGCCGAAGAAAGGCACAAUGGCCUAGAAAGGGACGGUCGGACUUGGAACGGGGUCCGAGGCCUCGAAAGUCCACAUCUAGCUACUGGGUGGUCCGAUUCUGAGUGAUCUCGAAGUUUCUUGCCCACAAAAGCCGAACGGUGACGCCCCAGACUCGGUUUCUUGGUUCCGUCCCAAAACGCCGAAGAAAGGCACAAUGGCCUAGAAAGGGACGGUCGGACUUGGAACGGGGUCCGAGGCCUCGAAAGUCCACAUCUAGCUACUGGGUGGUCCGAUUCUGAGUGAUCUCGAAGUUUCUUGCCCACAAAAGCCGAACGGUGACGCCCCAGACUCGGUUUCUUGGUUCCGUCCCAAAACGCCGAAGAAAGGCACAAUGGCCUAGAAAGGGACGGUCGGACUUGGAACGGGGUCCGAGGCCUCGAAAGUCCACAUCUAGCUACUGGGUGGUCCGAUUCUGAGUGAUCUCGAAGUUUCUUGCCCACAAAAGCCGAACGGUGACGCCCCAGACUCGGUUUCUUGGUUCCGUCCCAAAACGCCGAAGAAAGGCACAAUGGCCUAGAAAGGGACGGUCGGACUUGGAACGGGGUCCGAGGCCUCGAAAGUCCACAUCUAGCUACUGGGUGGUCCGAUUCUGAGUGAUCUCGAAGUUUCUUGCCCACAAAAGCCGAACGGUGACGCCCCAGACUCGGUUUCUUGGUUCCGUCCCAAAACGCCCGAAGAAAGGCACAAUGGCCUAGAAAGGGACGGUCGGACUUGGAACGGGGUCCGAGGCCUCGAAAGUCCACAUCUAGCUACUGGGUGGUCCGAUUCUGAGUGAUCUCGAAGUUUCUUGCCCACAAAAGCCGAACGGUGACGCCCCAGACUCGGUUUCUUGGUUCCGUCCCAAAACGCCGAAGAAAGGCACAAUGGCCUAGAAAGGGACGGUCGGACUUGGAACGGGGUCCGAGGCCUCGAAAGUCCACAUCUAGCUACUGGGGUGGUCCGAUUCUGAGUGAUCUCGAAGUUUCUUGCCCACAAAAGCCGAACGGUGACGCCCCAGACUCGGUUUCUUGGUUCCGUCCCAAAACGCCGAAGAAAGGCACAAUGGCCUAGAAAGGGACGGUCGGACUUGGAACGGGGUCCGAGGCCUCGAAAGUCCACAUCUAGCUACUGGGUGGUCCGAUUCUGAGUGAUCUCGAAGUUUCUUGCCCACAAAAGCCGAACGGUGACGCCCCAGACUCGGUUUCUUGGUUCCGUCCCAAAACGCCGAAGAAAGGCACAAUGGCCUAGAAAGGGACGGUCGGACUUGGAACGGGGUCCGAGGCCUCGAAAGUCCACAUCUAGCUACUGGGUGGUCCGAUUCUGAGUGAUCUCGAAGUUUCUUGCCCACAAAAGCCGAACGGUGACGCCCCAGACUCGGUUUCUUGGUUCCGUCCCAAAACGCCGAAGAAAGGCACAAUGGCCUAGAAAGGGACGGUCGGACUUGGAACGGGGUCCGAGGCCUCGAAAGUCCACAUCUAGCUACUGGGUGGUCCGAUUCUGAGUGAUCUCGAAGUUUCUUGCCCACAAAAGCCGAACGGUGACGCCCCAGACUCGGUUUCUUGGUUCCGUCCCAAAACGCCGAAGAAAGGCACAAUGGCCUAGAAAGGGACGGUCGGACUUGGAACGGGGUCCGAGGCCUCGAAAGUCCACAUCUAGCUACUGGGUGGUCCGAUUCUGAGUGAUCUCGAAGUUUCUUGCCCACAAAAGCCGAACGGUGACGCCCCAGACUCGGUUUCUUGGUUUCGUCCCAAAACGCCGAAGAAAGGCACAAUGGCCUAGAAAGGGACGGUCGGACUUGGAACGGGGUCCGAGGCCUCGAAAGUCCACAUCUAGCUACUGGGUGGUCCGAUUCUGAGUGAUCUCGAAGUUUCUUGCCCACAAAAGCCGAACGGUGACGCCCCAGACUCGGUUUCUUGGUUCCGUCCCAAAACGCCGAAGAAAGGCACAAUGGCCUAGAAAGGGACGGUCGGACUUGGAACGGGGUCCGAGGCCUCGAAAGUCCACAUCUAGCUACUGGGUGGUCCGAUUCUGAGUGAUCUCGAAGUUUCUUGCCCACAAAAGCCGAACGGUGACGCCCCAGACUCGGUUUCUUGGUUCCGUCCCAAAACGCCGAAGAAAGGCACAAUGGCCUAGAAAGGGACGGUCGGACUUGGAACGGGGUCCGAGGCCUCGAAAGUCCACAUCUAGCUACUGGGUGGUCCGAUUCUGAGUGAUCUCGAAGUUUCUUGCCCACAAAAGCCGAACGGUGACGCCCCAGACUCGGUUUCUUGGUUCCGUCCCAAAACGCCGAAGAAAGGCACAAUGGCCUAGAAAGGGACGGUCGGACUUGGAACGGGGUCCGAGGCCUCGAAAGUCCACAUCUAGCUACUGGGUGGUCCGAUUCUGAGUGAUCUCGAAGUUUCUUGCCCACAAAAGCCGAACGGUGACGCCCCAGACUCGGUUUCUUGGUUCCGUCCCAAAACGCCGAAGAAAGGCACAAUGGCCUAGAAAGGGACGGUCGGACUUGGAACGGGGUCCGAGGCCUCGAAAGUCCACAUCUAGCUACUGGGUGGUCCGAUUCUGAGUGAUCUCGAAGUUUCUUGCCCACAAAAGCCGAACGGUGACGCCCCAGACUCGGUUUCUUGGUUCCGUCCCAAAACGCCGAAGAAAGGCACAAUGGCCUAGAAAGGGACGGUCGGGACUUGGAACGGGGUCCGAGGCCUCGAAAGUCCACAUCUAGCUACUGGGUGGUCCGAUUCUGAGUGAUCUCGAAGUUUCUUGCCCACAAAAGCCGAACGGUGACGCCCCAGACUCGGUUUCUUGGUUCCGUCCCAAAACGCCGAAGAAAGGCACAAUGGCCUAGAAAGGGACGGUCGGACUUGGAACGGGGUCCGAGGCCUCGAAAGUCCACAUCUAGCUACUGGGUGGUCCGAUUCUGAGUGAUCUCGAAGUUUCUUGCCCACAAAAGCCGAACGGUGACGCCCCAGACUCGGUUUCUUGGUUCCGUCCCAAAACGCCGAAGAAAGGCACAAUGGCCUAGAAAGGGACGGUCGGACUUGGAACGGGGUCCGAGGCCUCGAAAGUCCACAUCUAGCUACUGGGUGGUCCGAUUCUGAGUGAUCUCGAAGUUUCUUGCCCACAAAAGCCGAACGGUGACGCCCCAGACUCGGUUUCUUGGUUCCGUCCCAAAACGCCGAAGAAAGGCACAAUGGCCUAGAAAGGGACGGUCGGACUUGGAACGGGGUCCGAGGCCUCGAAAGUCCACAUCUAGCUACUGGGUGGUCCGAUUCUGAGUGAUCUCGAAGUUUCUUGCCCACAAAAGCCGAACGGUGACGCCCCAGACUCGGUUUCUUGGUUCCGUCCCAAAACGCCGAAGAAAGGCACAAUGGCCUAGAAAGGGACGGUCGGACUUGGAACGGGUCCGAGGCCUCGAAAGUCCACAUCUAGCUACUGGGUGGUCCGAUUCUGAGUGAUCUCGAAGUUUCUUGCCCACAAAAGCCGAACGGUGACGCCCCAGACUCGGUUUCUUGGUUCCGUCCCAAAACGCCGAAGAAAGGCACAAUGGCCUAGAAAGGGACGGUCGGACUUGGAACGGGGUCCGAGGCCUCGAAAGUCCACAUCUAGCUACUGGGUGGUCCGAUUCUGAGUGAUCUCGAAGUUUCUUGCCCACAAAAGCCGAACGGUGACGCCCCAGACUCGGUUUCUUGGUUCCGUCCCAAAACGCCGAGAAAAGGCACAAUGGCCUAGAAAGGGACGGUCGGACUUGGAACGGGGUCCGAGGCCUCGAAAGUCCACAUCUAGCUACUGGGUGGUCCGAUUCUGAGUGAUCUCGAAGUUUCUUGCCCACAAAAGCCGAACGGUGACGCCCCAGACUCGGUUUCUUGGUUCCGUCCCAAAACGCCGAAGAAAGGCACAAUGGCCUAGAAAGGGACGGUCGGACUUGGAACGGGGUCCGAGGCCUCGAAAGUCCACAUCUAGCUACUGGGUGGUCCGAUUCUGAGUGAUCUCGAAGUUUCUUGCCCACAAAAGCCGAACGGUGACGCCCCAGACUCGGUUUCUUGGUUCCGUCCCAAAACGCCGAAGAAAGGCACAAUGGUCCUAGAAAGGGACGGUCGGACUUGGAACGGGGUCCGAGGCCUCGAAAGUCCACAUCUAGCUACUGGGUGGUCCGAUUCUGAGUGAUCUCGAAGUUUCUUGCCCACAAAAGCCGAACGGUGACGCCCCAGACUCGGUUUCUUGGUUCCGUCCCAAAACGCCGAAGAAAGACACAAUGGCCUAGAAAGGGACGGUCGGACUUGGAACGGGGUCCGAGGCCUCGAAAGUCCACAUCUAGCUACUGGGUGGUCCGAUUCUGAGUGAUCUCGAAGUUUCUUGCCCACAAAAAGCCGAACGGUGACGCCCAGACUCGGUUUCUUGGUUCCGUCCCAAAACGCCGAAGAAAGGCACAAUGGCCUAGAAAGGGACGGUCGGACUUGGAACGGGGUCCGAGGCCUCGAAAGUCCACAUCUAGCUACUGGGUGGUCCGAUUCUGAGUGAUCUCGAAGUUUCUUGCCCACAAAAGCCGAACGGUGACGCCCCAGACUCGGUUUCUUGGUUCCGUCCCAAAACGCCGAAGAAAGGCACAAUGGCCUAGAAAGGGACGGUCGGACUUGGAACGGGGUCCGAGGCCUCGAAAGUCCACAUCUAGCUACUGGGUGGUCCGAUUCUGAGUGAUCUCGAAGUUUCUUGCCCACAAAAGCCGAACGGUGACGCCCCAGACUCGGUUUCUUGGUUCCGUCCCAAAACGCCGAAGAAAGGCACAAUGGCCUAGAAAGGGACGGUCGGACUUGGAACGGGGUCCGAGGCCUCGAAAGUCCACAUCUAGCUACUGGGUGGUCCGAUUCUUUGUGAUCUCGAAGUUUCUUGCCCACAAAAGCCGAACGGUGACGCCCCAGACUCGGUUUCUUGGUUCCGUCCCAAAACGCCGAAGAAAGGCACAAUGGCCUAGAAAGGGACGGUCGGACUUGGAACGGGGUCCGAGGCCUCGAAAGUCCACAUCUAGCUACUGGGUGGUCCGAUUCUGAGUGAUCUCGAAGUUUCUUGCCCACAAAAGCCGAACGGUGACGCCCCAGACUCGGUUUCUUGGUUCCGUCCCAAAACGCCGAAGAAAGGCACAAUGGCCUAGAAAGGGACGGUCGGACUUGGAACGGGGUCCGAGGCCUCGAAAGUCCACAUCUAGCUACUGGGUGGUCCGAUUCUGAGUGAUCUCGAAGUUUCUUGCCCACAAAAGCCGAACGGUGACGCCCCAGACUCGGUUUCUUGGUUCCGUCCCAAAACGCCGAAGAAAGGCACAAUGGCCUAGAAAGGGACGGUCGGACUUGGAACGGGGUCCGAGGCCUCGAAAGUCCACAUCUAGCUACUGGGUGGUCCGAUUCUGAGUGAUCUCGAAGUUUCUUGCCCACAAAAGCCGAACGGUGACGCCCCAGACUCGGUUUCUUGGUUCCGUCCCAAAAACGCCGAAGAAAGGCCCAAUGGCCUAGAAAGGGACGGUCGGACGUGGAACGGGGUCCGAGGCGUCGAAAGUCAACAUCUAGCUACUGGGUGGUCCGAUUCUGAGUGAUCUCGAAGUUUAUUGCCCACAAAAGCCGAACGGUGACGCCCCAGACUCGGUUUCUUGGUUCCGUCCCAAAACGCCGAAGAAAGGCACAAUGGCCUAGAAAGGGACGGUCGGACUUGGAACGGGGUCCGAGGCCUCGAAAGUCCACAUCUAGCUACUGGGUGGUCCGAUUCUGAGUGAUCUCGAAGUUUCUUGCCCACAAAAGCCGAACGGUGACGCCCCAGACUCGGUUUCUUGGUUCCGUCCCAAAACGCCGAAGAAAGGCACAAUGGCCUAGAAAGGGACGGUCGGACUUGGAACGGGGUCCGAGGCCUCGAAAGUCCACAUCUAGCUACUGGGUGGUCCGAUUCUUUGUGAUCUCGAAGUUUCUUGCCCACAAAAGCCGAACGGUGACGCCCCAGACUCGGUUUCUUGGUUCCGUCCCAAAACGCCGAAGAAAGGCACAAUGGCCUAGAAAGGGACGGUCGGACUUGGAACGGGGUCCGAGGCCUCGAAAGUCCACAUCUAGCUACUGGGUGGUCCGAUUCUGAGUGAUCUCGAAGUUUCUUGCCCACAAAAGCCGAACGGUGACGCCCCAGACUCGGUUUCUUGGUUCCGUCCCAAAACGCCGAAGAAAGGCACAAUGGCCUAGAAAGGGACGGUCGGACUUGGAACGGGGUCCGAGGCCUCGAAAGUCCACAUCUAGCUACUGGGUGGUCCGAUUCUGAGUGAUCUCGAAGUUUCUUGCCCACAAAAGCCGAACGGUGACGCCCCAGACUCGGUUUCUUGGUUCCGUCCCAAAACGCCGAAGAAAGGCACAAUGGCCUAGAAAGGGACGGUCGGACUUGGAACGGGGUCCGAGGCCUCGAAAGUCCACAUCUAGCUACUGGGUGGUCCGAUUCUUUGUGAUCUCGAAGUUUCUUGCCCACAAAAGCCGAACGGUGACGCCCCAGACUCGGUUUCUUGGUUCCGUCCCAAAACGCCGAAGAAAGGCACAAUGGCCUAGAAAGGGACGGUCGGACUUGGAACGGGGUCCGAGGCCUCGAAAGUCCACAUCUAGCUACUGGGUGGUCCGAUUCUGAGUGAUCUCGAAGUUUCUUGCCCACAAAAGCCGAACGGUGACGCCCCAGACUCGGUUUCUUGGUUCCGUCCCAAAACGCCGAAGAAAGGCACAAUGGCCUAGAAAGGGAAGGUCGGACUUGGAACGGGGUCCGAGGCCUCGAAAGUCAACAUCUAGCUACUGGGUGGUCCGAUUCUGAGUGAUCUCGAAGUUUCUUGCCCACAAAAGCCGAACGGUGACGCCCCAGACUCGGUUUCUUGGUUCCGUCCCAAAACGCCGAAGAAAGGCACAAUGGCCUAGAAAGGGACGGUCGGACUUGGAACGGGGUCCGAGGCCUCGAAAGUCCACAUCUAGCUACUGGGUGGUCCGAUUCUUUGUGAUCUCGAAGUUUCUUGCCCACAAAAGCCGAACGGUGACGCCCCAGACUCGGUUUCUUGGUUCCGUCCCAAAACGCCGAAGAAAGGCACAAUGGCCUAGAAAGGGACGGUCGGACUUGGAACGGGGUUCGAGGCCUCGAAAGUCCACAUCUAGCUACUGGGUGGUCCGAUUCUUUGUGAUCUCGAAGUUUCUUGCCCACAAAAGCCGAACGGUGACGCCCCAGACUCGGUUUCUUGGUUCCGUCCCAAAACGCCGAAGAAAGGCACAAUGGCCUAGAAAGGGACGGUCGGACUUGGAACGGGGUCCGAGGCCUCGAAAGUCCACAUCUAGCUACUGGGUGGUUCGAUUCUGAGUGAUCUCGAAGUUUCUUGCCCACAAAAGCCGAACGGUGACGCCCCAGACUCGGUUUCUUGGUUCCGUCCCAAAACGCCGAAGAAAGGCACAAUGGCCUAGAAGAAAGGACGGUCGUACUUGGAACGGGGUCCGAGGCCUCGAAAGUCCACAUCUAGCGACUGGGUGGUUCGAUUCUGAGUGAUCUCGAAGUUUCUUGCCCACAAAAGCCGAACGGUGACGCCCCAGACUCGGUUUCUUGGUUCCGUCCCAAAACGCCGAAGAAAGGCAAAAUGGCCUAGAAAGGGACGGUCGGACUCGAAACGGGGUCCGAGGCCUCGAAAGUCCACAUCUAGCGACUGGGUGGUCCGAUUCUGAGUGAUCUCGAAGUUUCUUGCCCACAAAAGCAGAACGGUGACGCCCUAGACUCGGUUUCUUGGUUCCGUCCCAAAACGCCAAAGAAAGGCACAAUGACCAAGAAAGGGAUGGUCGGACUUGGAACGGGGUCUGAGGCCUCGAAAGUCCACAUCUAGCUACUGGGUGGUCCGAUUCUUUGUGAUCUCGAAGUUUCUUGCCCACAAAAGCCGAACGGUGACGCCCCAGACUCGGUUUCUUGGUUCCGUCCCAAA